rnacentral:rRNA from 1 species
AUUGAACGCUGGCGGCAGGCCUAACACAUGCAAGUCGAACGGUAACAGGAAGCAGCUUGCUGCUUUGCUGACGAGUGGCGGACGGGUGAGUAAUGUCUGUGAAACUGCAUGAUGGCGGGGGAUAACUACUGGAAACGGUAGCGAAUACCGCAUAACGUCGCAAGACCAAAGAGCAGGACCUUCGGGCCUCUUGCCCGCGGAAGUGCCCCGAUGGGAUUAGCUAGUAGGUGGGGUAACGGCGCACCUAGGCGACGAUCCCUAGCUGGUCUGAGAGGAUGACCAGCCACACUGGAACUGAGACACGGUCCAGACUCCUACGGGAGGCAGCAGUGGGGAAUAUUGGACAAUGGGCGCAAGCCUGAUGCAGCCAUGCCGCGUGUAUGAAGAAGGCCUUCGGGUUGUAAAGUACUUUUAGCGGGGAGGAAGGGAGUAAAGUUAAUACCUUGGCUCAUUGACGUUACCCGCAGAAGAAGCACCGGCUAACUCCGUG